rnacentral:rRNA from 1 species
UAGGGAAUAUUGCAUAAUGGGCGAAAGCCUGAUGCAGCAACGCCGCGUGUGCGAUGAAGGCCUUCGGGUCGUAAAGCACUUUUUGAGAGGAUGAGGGAGGACAGUACUCUCAGAAUAAGCCUCGGCUAACUACGUGCCAGCAGCCGCGGUAAAACGUAGGAGGCGAGCGUUAUCCGGAUUUACUGGGCGUAAAGCGCGUGCAGGCGGUAAGGAAAGUUGGAUGUGAAAGCUCCUGGCUUAACUGGGAGAGGUCGUUCAAAACUACCUAACUAGAGUGUGGGAGAGGGAGGCGGAAUUCCGGGUGUAGUGGUGAAAUGCGUAGAUAUCCGGAGGAACACCAGUGGCGAAAGCGGCCUCCUGGCCCAAGACUGACGCUCAGACGCGAAAGCUAGGGUAGCAAACG